CACUAUCGUUAACUGAAUACAUAGGUUAACGAGGCGAACCGGGGGAACUGAAACAUCUAAGUACCCCGAGGAAAAGAAAUCAACCGAGAUUCCCCCAGUAGCGGCGAGCGAACGGGGAGCAGCCCAGAGUCUGAAUCAGCUUGUGUGUUAGUGGAACGGUCUGGAAAGUCCGACGGUACAGGGUGAUAGUCCCGUACACCAAAAUGCACAGGCUGUGAACUCGAAGAGUAGGGCGGGACACGUGGUAUCCUGUCUGAAUAUGGGGGGACCAUCCUCCAAGGCUAAAUACUCCUGACUGACCGAUAGUGAACCAGUACCGUGAGGGAAAGGCGAAAAGAACCCCGGCGAGGGGAGUGAAAAAGAACCUGAAACCGUGUACGUACAAGCAGUGGGAGCACCUUCGGGUGUGACUGCGUACCUUUUGUAUAAUGGGUCAGCGACUUAUAUUCUGUAGCAAGGUUAACCGUAUAGGGGAGCCGCAGGGAAACCGAGUCUUAACUGGGCGUUAAGUUGCAGGGUAUAGACCCGAAACCCGGUGAUCUAGCCAUGGGCAGGUUGAAGGUUGGGUAACACUAACUGGAGGACCGAACCGACUAAUGUUGAAAAAUUAGCGGAUGACUUGUGGCUGGGGGUGAAAGGCCAAUCAAACCGGGAGAUAGCUGGUUCUCCCCGAAAGCUAUUUAGGUAGCGCCUCGUGAAUUCAUCUUCGGGGGUAGAGCACUGUUUCGGCUAGGGGGUCAUCCCGACUUACCAACCCGAUGCAAACUACGAAUACCGAAGAAUGUUAUCACGGGAGACACACGGCGGGUGCUAACGUCCGUCGUGAAGAGGGAAACAACCCAGACCGCCAGCUAAGGUCCCAAAGUCAUGGUUAAGUGGGAAACGAUGUGGGAAGGCACAGACAGCCAGGAUGUUGGCUUAGAAGCAGCCAUCAUUUAAAGAAAGCGUAAUAGCUCACUGGUCGAGUCGGCCUGCGCGGAAGAUGUAACGGGGCUAAACCAUGCACCGAAGCUGCGGCAGCGACACUAUGUGUUGUUGGGUAGGGGAGCGUUCUGUAAGCCUGCGAAGGUGUGCUGUGAGGCAUGCUGGAGGUAUCAGAAGUGCGAAUGCUGACAUAAGUAACGAUAAAGCGGGUGAAAAGCCCGCUCGCCGGAAGACCAAGGGUUCCUGUCCAACGUUAAUCGGGGCAGGGUGAGUCGACCCCUAAGGCGAGGCCGAAAGGCGUAGUCGAUGGGAAACAGGUUAAUAUUCCUGUACUUGGUGUUACUGCGAAGGGGGGACGGAGAAGGCUAUGUUAGCCGGGCGACGGUUGUCCCGGUUUAAGCAUGUAGGCUGGUUAUCCAGGCAAAUCCGGAUAAUCAAGGCUGAGGUGUGAUGACGAGGCACUACGGUGCUGAAGUAACAAAUGCCCUGCUUCCAGGAAAAGCCUCUAAGCAUCAGGUAACAUCAAAUCGUACCCCAAACCGACACAGGUGGUCAGGUAGAGAAUACCAAGGCGCUUGAGAGAACUCGGGUGAAGGAACUAGGCAAAAUGGUGCCGUAACUUCGGGAGAAGGCACGCUGGUGUGUAGGUGAAGUCCCUGCGGAUGGAGCUGAGACCAGUCGAAGAUACCAGCUGGCUGCAACUGUUUAUUAAAAACACAGCACUGUGCAAACACGAAAGUGGACGUAUACGGUGUGACGCCUGCCCGGUGCCGGAAGGUUAAUUGAUGGGGUUAUCCGUAAGGAGAAGCUCUUGAUCGAAGCCCCGGUAAACGGCGGCCGUAACUAUAACGGUCCUAAGGUAGCGAAAUUCCUUGUCGGGUAAGUUCCGACCUGCACGAAUGGCGUAAUGAUGGCCAGGCUGUCUCCACCCGAGACUCAGUGAAAUUGAACUCGCUGUGAAGAUGCAGUGUACCCGCGGCAAGACGGAAAGACCCCGUGAACCUUUACUAUAGCUUGACACUGAACAUUGAGCCUUGAUGUGUAGGAUAGGUGGGAGGCUUUGAAGCGUGGACGCCAGUCUGCGUGGAGCCAACCUUGAAAUACCACCCUUUAAUGUUUGAUGUUCUAACGUUGGCCCCUGACCGGGGUUGCGGACAGUGUCUGGUGGGUAGUUUGACUGGGGCGGUCUCCUCCCAAAGCGUAACGGAGGAGCACGAAGGUUAGCUAAUCCUGGUCGGACAUCAGGAGGUUAGUGCAAUGGCAUAAGCUAGCUUGACUGCGAGCGUGACGGCGCGAGCAGGUGCGAAAGCAGGUCAUAGUGAUCCGGUGGUUCUGAAUGGAAGGGCCAUCGCUCAACGGAUAAAAGGUACUCCGGGGAUAACAGGCUGAUACCGCCCAAGAGUUCAUAUCGACGGCGGUGUUUGGCACCUCGAUGUCGGCUCAUCACAUCCUGGGGCUGAAGUAGGUCCCAAGGGUAUGGCUGUUCGCCAUUUAAAGUGGUACGCGAGCUGGGUUUAGAACGUCGUGAGACAGUUCGGUCCCUAUCUGCCGUGGGCGCUGGAGAAUUGAGGGGGGCUGCUCCUAGUACGAGAGGACCGGAGUGGACGCAUCACUGGUGUUCGGGUUGUCAUGCCAAUGGCACUGCCCGGUAGCUAAAUGCGGAAGAGAUAAGUGCUGAAAGCAUCUAAGCACGAAACUUGCCCCGAGAUGAGUUCUCCCUGAGACUUUAAGUCUCCUGAAGGAACGUUGAAGACGACGACGUUGAUAGGCCGGGUGUGUAAGCGCAGCGAUGCGUUGAGCUAACCGGUACUAAUGAACCGUGAGGCUUAACCUU
rnacentral:rRNA from 1 species